AGGAAGCACCCACAACUCCAGGAGGGUUUUUGGACUAGAAGACCUACCAGGUCCUUUUCCAAUUCUGUUAUUCUGUUAUUCAAUCUUGGCAACUUCAAGGAUGAUGGACUUCAACUCCUAGAAUUCUGGAAGUCUUGCUGAAAACCUGGUCCUGGCUGGUGGAAAAAGAAGAGAGGCAUUGUAAACAUGGUGUUAAUGAUGAGAAGAUUCGGGCAUUUCAGAAAUUUUGGGGAUGAACAUAGAUGUAUGCACCCUUUAAAGUUUAUUCCCUGCAAUAAGGACAGGACUGAACCGGGUUGGACUGGACUGAACUGGAUUGAAAUGGAAUGGAAUGGAAUAGAUUCGGGAAUGGAAAACAGAAAGAGCCAGCAGUUGGCUAACAUAUUCCUGAGCAUGAUUCAAUAAGCUAUUUUCAGCUGAAAUGGAUUCUGCUCUGCUACAAGAGAAAGCCAAAAUAAAACAUACUGCACCACUUGUCAAAGCAAUGAAGUAGGCUGCAGAGGAAAUUCCUGUUUAUUUAAGGAAUGGGCUGUGACUUGAAAGAAACAAAAGAGAAAUGAUGGCGAUGAAAAAACAUGUACUAACUUUCUACUUGCUUCAUAAUUUGUAAAGUAUGGUUUGUAUUAACAUAAAAAAAUUAAAACGUCCUUUCUUUGUUGAAUAUAAAAUGAAUUGAUAGAUGAAUUGACUACUUAAAAAUAUGGAUGUUUUUGUUGUUAAGAUAGAAGUAGCAGUAAAGUCUUAUUAAAAGUUAAAGUAUGGUAGUAACAAACAUAUCCAUUGUUGUUUAUUUUAAGUUCCUUGACUGAAGUGAUACCAUUUUUAUCAUGAAUCUGUGAUCCAUAAUAUUGAACUCUAUGUUUGAAAACAUCUUGAUAAAAUAUCACAUUUUCUGCAAAAACUGCACAGAACAAAUACAAAACCCUCAGAAAAGCUGUUUAUUUUGGAUACUAUUUUGGCUUAUAUGCUGGUCUAUUUUCAAAACGCAGCACUUUACAAGUAAUAGCACAAAAAUUUACUUCAAUUCUUCAGAUUCCCCUUCUUUCCCAUUGUUCCUCUAUCGCUUUUCCUUUUUUCAGAAGCACAGCCCCUGAUUCAAGAGGACAGUCCAGUCAGUUUACCAGGCUCUGAUCCAAUAUUUUUUUUAAAAAAAAAAACUUGGCACAAUUGAAGAUACAUGGACUUCAAUUUUCCAAAUUCCACAUGCUGACUGGGCAAUUCUGGGAGUUGAUAUCCACACAUCUUCAAGUUGCCAAUUUCCUUUGGGAAACAUGAAAAAAAGGCUCACCCUGAGUCAGUAUAGAACCCUGAAAAAUAUGUUUCUUGAUUAUUCUUUUCUUGCAUUUAUGCCAUAGCAUGGAUAGUUUAGAUGGCUCUCUUCUUUCCAUUUCUUGGCUGAGAAAUAGUGGCUGACACAUUGAGAAAUAUGAGUUAGAGAGACAUAGGUUAGUCCUAGGUAAAGGUAAAGGCUCCCCUCACACAUAUGUGCUAGUUGUUCCCAACUCUAGGGGGUGGUGCUCAUCUCCAUUUCAAAGCCAAAGAGCCAGUGCUGUCUGAAGACGUCUCUAUGGACAUGUGGCCAGCAUGACUAAAUUCCAAACAUGCACGGAAUGCUAUUACCUUCCCACCAAAGGUGGUCCCUAUUUUUCUACUUGCAUUUUUUACGUGCUUUCGAACUGCUUGGUUGGCAGAAGCUGGGACAAGUAACGGGAGCUCACCCCGUUACGCAG